AUUGAACGCUGGCGGCAGGCCUAACACAUGCAAGUCGAGCGAGCGGCGGCCGGGUGAUUCAUGUAUAUGGACUUCCCGAUAGAGGUGGCUAACUACUGGAAACUGUGUCUCAUACCGCAUACUGUCUGCUAACCCAUAUGGGAUUAGCUAGUUGGUAAGGUACUGGCUUACCUAGCCGACGAUCCCUAGCUGGUCUGAGAGGAUGAUCAGGCACACUGGAACUGAGAAACGGCCCAGACUCCUACGGAGGCAGCAGUGGGGAAUAUUGCACAAUGGGCGCAAGCCUGAGGCAGCCAUGCCGCGUGUAUGAAGAAGGCCCUAGGAUUGUAAAGUACUUUAAGUCGGGAGGCGUUACCGACAGAAGAAGCACCGGCUAACUCCGUGCCAGCCGCCGCGGUAAUUC
rnacentral:rRNA from 1 species